CUAGAAUGCGCGUGACCGGUCCAGAGAUGGACCUUUCCUUCGGGACACAAAGCAAGGUGCUGCAUGGCCGUCGUCAGCUCGUGCCGUGAGGUGUUGGGUUAAGUCCCGCAACGAGCGCAACCCCUAUCUUUAGUUGCCAGCACAUUAUGGUGGGGACUCUAAAGAGACUGCCUGCGCAAGCAGUGAGGAAGGUGGGGAUGACGUCAGGUCAUCAUGGCCCUUACGCCUAGGGCUACACACGUGCUACAAUGGGCGGUACAGAGGGUUGCUACCUGGUGACAGGAUGCCAAUCUCAAAAAGCCGCUCUCAGUUCGGAUCGAAGUCUGCAACUCGACUUCGUGAAGCUGGAAUCGCUAGUAAUCGCGUAUCAGCAAUGACGCGGUGAAUACGUUCCCGGGCCUUGUACACACCGCCCGUCAAGCCAUGGAAGUCAGGGAGACCUGAAGACAG
rnacentral:rRNA from 1 species